CAAUAAGCGGAGGAAAAGAAACCAACAGGGAUUACCUCAGUAACGGCGAGUGAAGCGGUAACAGCUCAAAUUUGAAAUCUGGCCCUUUCAGGGUCCGAGUUGUAAUUUGUAGAAGAUGCUUUGGGUGUGGCUCCGGUCUAAGUUCCUUGGAACAGGACGUCAUAGAGGGUGAGAAUCCCGUAUGUGACUGGCUGCCUCCGCCCGUGUAAAGCUCUUUCGACGAGUCGAGUUGUUUGGGAAUGCAGCUCAAAAUGGGUGGUAAAUUUCAUCUAAAGCUAAAUAUUGGCCAGAGACCGAUAGCGCACAAGUAGAGUGAUCGAAAGAUGAAAAGCACUUUGGAAAGAGAGUUAAACAGUACGUGAAAUUGUUGAAAGGGAAGCGCUUGCAAUCAGACUUGCGCGCGGUCGAUCAUCCGGGGUUCUCCCCGGUGCACUCGGCCGCGCUCAGGCCAGCAUCGGUUUUGGUGGUGGGAUAAAGGCCUUGGGAAUGUGGCUCCUCUCGGGGAGUGUUAUAGCCCUCGGUGCAAUGCCGCCUACCGGGACCGAGG
rnacentral:rRNA from 2 species